GAUGAACGCUGGCGGCGUGCCUAAUACAUGCAAGUCGAGCGAACAGACGAGGAGCUUGCUCCUCUGACGUUAGCGGCGGACGGGUGAGUAACACGUGGAUAACCUACCUAUAAGACUGGGAUAACUUCGGGAAACCGGAGCUAAUACCGGAUAAUAUAUUGAACCGCAUGGUUCAAUAGUGAAAGACGGUUUUGCUGUCACUUAUAGAUGGAUCCGCGCCGCAUUAGCUAGUUGGUAAGGUAACGGCUUACCAAGGCAACGAUGCGUAGCCGACCUGAGAGGGUGAUCGGCCACAAUGGAACUGAGACACGGGCCAGACUCCUACGGGAGGCAGCAGUAGGGAAUCCUCCGCAAUGGGCGAAAGCCUGACGGAGCAACGCCGCGUGAGUGAUGAAGGUCUUCGGAUCCUAAAACUCUGUUAUUAGGGAAGAACAAAUGUGUAAGUAACUAUGCACGUCUUGACGGUACCUUAUCAGAAAGCCACGGCUAACUACGUG
rnacentral:rRNA from 1 species